CAGACCUCUGAUCAGGAAAAGA
rnacentral:rRNA from 1 species